rnacentral:rRNA from 1 species
UAGGGAAUCUUCCACAAUGGACGCAAGUCUGAUGGAGCAACGCCGCGUGAGUGAAGAAGGUCUUCGGAUCGUAAAGCUCUGUUGUUGGUGAAGAAGGAUAGAGGCAGUAACUGGUCUUUAUUUGACGGUAAUCAACCAGAAAGUCACGGCUAACUACGUGCCAGCAGCCGCGGUAAUACGUAGGUGGCAAGCGUUGUCCGGAUUUAUUGGGCGUAAAGCGAGCGCAGGCGGAAUGAUAAGUCNGAUGUGAAAGCCCACGGCUCAACCGUGGAACUGCAUCGGAAACUGUCAUUCUUGAGUGCAGAAGAGGAGAGUGGAACUCCAUGUGUAGCGGUGGAAUGCGUAGAUAUAUGGAAGAACACCAGUGGCGAAGGCGGCUCUCUGGUCUGCAACUGACGCUGAGGCUCGAAAGCAUGGGUAGCGAACAGGAUUAGAUACCCUGGUAGUCCAUGCCGUAAACGAUGAGC